rnacentral:rRNA from 1 species
AGUCAUGCCGCUCAGGGGAUGGCUUGGCUCAGGUAGCGAGGAAGGCCGUGGCAAGCUGCGAUAAGCCCAGGGUAGGCGCAGGCAGCCCUUGAACCUGGGAUUGCCGAAUUAUUCACCUCCAAAAGAGGUGAAGGAGCACGCGGGGAAUUGAAACAUCUUAGUACCCGCAGGAAAAGAAACCAAAUGGGAUGUGGUUAGUAAGGGCGACUGAAAGCCACACAGAGGCAAUUCGAAUCCUCCUUGGCAACUUGGAGGAGAUGUGAUGCAUUCCAUUCUCCCUCUGUCUAGCUGAAGUGCGCUGAAAAGCGCUGCCAAAGAGAGUGAAAGCCUCGUAAGCGAAAAACAGAGGGUGAGGGGAUGCGCAGAGUAGCGUCCAUUGAGUAGUGGGCGUGAACAUGGGAGCAUCAACUUCCAACUCUAAAUAUAACCUGAGACCGAUAGCGCACAAGUAGCGCGAGCGAAAGCUGAAAAGCACCCCGAAAGGGGAGUUAAAAGAGCCUGAAACUGAGUGGCUACAGAAGGUGCGGCCCGAAAGGAAUGCGGUCUCCUGGAAGCGAUAUGUAGAAAUAUAUAAAGCGACGGGAGAUUGAGCAGGGUUGCAUCGUUCUUCUUGAAGCAAGAGCCAAGGAGUUGAUGGAAGUGGUGAGCCGAAAGGCGGAGCGAAAGCGAGGCUGCGCAACCCGAAAGGGCGAGGCAGGUGGUACGAAAGUGCCAUAAAUCACUUUCAUCAGACCCGAAGCCAAUGUGAUCUACACGCGGGCAGGGCGAAGCCAAUCUUCCGAUUGGUCGAGGCCCGCAACCGGUGCUGGUAUAUCCGCUCGGGUGACCUGCGUGUAGGGGUGAUAGUCCUAUCGAACUUGGCGAUAAGUUUAUAAGGGCAGCAAAUGGGAUCUUUGUAUGCUGCCCUUUAAACUCGCUAAAGCGGGUUCCCCCCGAAGUAUCCCUCAGGAUAGCCCCAUUGGAGGUGGAUUGUGAGGUAGAGCACUGAUCAGGCAGAACGGAGCCGAAAGGCUCCACUGUCUUUUCAAACUCCGAAUUCACAAUCACCGUAGAAGAUGGGAGUCGGGCGUGCUGGGUAAGCUAGCAUGCCGGGACGGGAACGACCGAGACCGAGGUUAAGGCCCCUAAAUCCUGGCUAAGUGCUAAUCACAAAGGAGUCUCCACUCUAAAACAGCUGGAAGGUAGGCUCAGAAGCAGCCAUCCUUUAAACAACGCGUAACAGCGGACCAGUCGAGAGUGCAGGCUCUGAAGAUUACCGGGGCUAAGCCAGGUGCCGAUACCCCGGAGGAUGCCGCAAGCAUCAUCUGGUAGGGGGGUGUUCUGGCAGGGCAGAAGUUGGGGCGUGAGUUCCAAUGGACCUGUCAGAAACAAAUAUCUUGGUGUUAGUAACAGCAAAUCCAGGUGAGAAUCCUGGACGCCGGAUAGCACACGGUUUUCUUAACAAUGUUCGUCAGUUAAGAGUAAGCCGAUCCUAAGCUCCCAGCUAAUUACUCGGGAGCGAAAGGGAAACUGGUUAAAAUUCCAGUGCCUCGUGGGUAGACGUGGCGACACAAGGCCAGCUUCUGACGCUUGGGGAUAGGUGGAGUGAAUGAGAAUUCAUCUAACCUCUGCAAGACUGCAGAGACUCAUUAUGAGGAGAAGCAGUCUAACUCUGGGAAGGCCAUCGCAAGGUGGUUCCGCUGAUUCCUUGAGCCCGUGAAAAGGAAGCUGGCAGCGAUUCCACGAGAUCGUACCUAGAACUCGUACAGGUGCUGCUGGCAGAGAAAGCCAAGGCGUGUCAGGAGAACUCAGGUAAGGGAACUCGGCAAUCCAGUGGCGUAACUUCGGGAGAAGCCAUGCCUGCAGUUGUGGCGCAAGCUGCAACCGCAGGUCGCAGUGACAAGGGGACGUCGACUGUUUACCAAAAACACAGCUCCCUGCAAAGCCGAAAGGCUUAGUAUAGGGGGCGAUGCCUGCUCACUACCGGUACGUCAAACUCCAGUUCAAUGGAGCAAAGCGCCGGCAAAGAGCGGGGGUAAUCUGAUGAGUCCUUUGAAUUCAUCAGACCUCAAACUCUGACCCUCUUAAGGUAGCGUAAUACCUCGCCGCUUAAUUGGUGGCUUGCAUGAAGGGCAUAACGAGCGUCCCGCUGUCCCUACCUGGGACCUGGUGAACUCACUACUCGGUGAAGAUGCCGAGGACUUCUAGGGGGAAACGAAGACCCCGUGGAGCUUUACUAUAGUCUGUCGUUGGGAUACGGUGGUUGUUGCACAGCGUAAGCGGGAGCGUCGAAACACUCCUUGCGGGGGGUGUGAAUGCGAAAGUGAAACACCGCUCUACAGCUGCUGUGUUCCUAACCUGCAAGGGGACAUCGGCAGAUGGAUAGUUUGGCUGGGGCGGUACGCCCUCGAUAAGGAAACAAGGGCGCCCAAUGCUAUCCUUAAGCGGGUCAGAAAUCCGCUGGUAAGGGUCAAAGACAAAUGGAUGGCUGACUGAAUCCUUAAAAGCGUGGGAUUCAGGCUCGAAAGAGGGGCUUAACGAACCUUGGUAUCCCUUUUGCUGAGGGUCCAAGCUGUCAGACAAGCUACCCCGGGGGUAACAGGCUCGUCGCGGGCGAGAGUACACAUCGACCUCGCGGUUUGGUACAUCGCUGUCGGCCUAGGUCAUCCUGGUGGUGCAGGAGCCACCAAGGGUUGGGUUGUUCAUCCAUUAAAGACCUACACGAGCUGGGUUCAGAACCCUGGAGGGUUAACCUUUGAUAUUUGCCUAUGUCUCUAGCAGGUUCUUAUGCCUGCUAAACUUGAGAGGAUGUUAACCCUACUGGGUGAACAAAACGUCGCGACCCUAGAUGGCAAAUUUUAUAUUACAGAAACGAAAAUCUACUAUGGACAAAUUAGCGUACUUAGCAGGUGCUAUGAGAGACGGUUCGUUCAUUAAAAAUAACAAUGAAAGAAUCUACCGACUCGUCAUAUACCAACGAAAUGAGAAGUGGAUAAGAAAAGUUUCGGAGUUUAUUUACGAAUUAUUCGGCGCGAAGCCAACAAUUUCUCAAGAUUCAAGAGGACUAUGGAGAGCAACACUAAAUUCAAAACAAAUCUACAACACGGUAGUGCGACUGUUAGAGUUCGAUGGAGAACAAGCAAGUUGGAAUACACCCAAUUUUGUUUUAAGAGGAAGUUCUGCAACAAAGAGAGCUUACAUCUCAGGUUUUUUUGAUGCGGAGGGAAGCAUAAAUAGUUUAGACAAGUAUGGUGCGAAUUACUUCAAACCAAAGGACAUACGGAUAUACUUCGCACAAGCAAAUAAAAGAGUUCUAGAAGAACUUAAAUCAAUGAUAGAAAGCUUUGGAAUUAAAUGUGGCAAUGUGGUAGGCCCAUAUGUCAAAAAGGGCACCUCAACUAAAAUGUAUGGAUUAAUAAUCCAUGGUCGUGAACAAUGUUCAAAUUUUUACAAGACGUUUUAUGUUUAUCAUCCCGAUAAAAAAGAAGGUUCAUACUUUUGCCAUCUGGGGCGACAAAGACAGUUCGGUAGUAUCUCCUAGAAGUGUUGACUGCCUGAGAGCAGGAUUCCCUGAGUACGAGAGGAACAGGGAAUCGGCGCCUCUAGUUUACCGGUUGUGAAAAGCACUGCCGGGCAGCCACGCGCCAGUGGAUAAGACCUGAAAGCAUCUAAGGUCGAAGCCAUUCUCAAAACGAGGCAGUCCAAGGCC